AAAUAAUGUGCAGUGGACCAUAGAGAAAUAAAAAAAAGAGAGACGUCAAAGGAUAGGGAAUAACUGGCACAAUCUUUCUGCGCAGGUAAGUAGCACAUAGGGGCGCUGCUGUUUCUGAAACUAAAAUUUACCCAUGGUACAAUAAAGUAUUUUGAUUGUACCGUGAAGAAAAUUUACAUUUUUGACAAUUGACAUUGACUUUUUAGGACAAUUGACAUUGACAGUGUUUUUAGGACGCCAUUUUGUUGUGAGAAUUUGCAAUUUCCCGGCCCGGCAUAAAUAGAUAAUUUGGCGGUUUGUACAUGGUUUGUACUGAAUACUACUGAACUGAACAUAUUUUCAUUACUGGAUAGUGCCGGAAUUGCUGAAAUUGAAUAUCGGAUUAGGAGUAUAGACAGACUCGACAAAGACAUCAACUUUUGAAAAGGAUAAUUACGAAGUACAGCAACAUUGAAGAUAACAUUAAUGUCAUUAGGAACUUGGAAUUACAGAGAAGUGAUAUAGACUAAUCAUCAUCAUCAUCAGCCCCUCUAGAUCCACUGCUGGACAUAGGCCUCCCAUGUUUGUAGACAAGUAGACUAAUAGAAUAACAAGUAUAGUGUAAGUACAUGUAAGUAGGUAGGUUAACACCUUGGCUACCGUGUGAGAUGCCAGCAUUUCACACAAAAUAUUGACUGUAAUACCGUGUGAGACGCUGGCUUCCAUUGUUAUUAAAUGAUUUAAAAUGCUCUAAAGCGAGAGUUUUUAGUUUCUCAUAUUGGUUUCAAAAUAAGGAUAAAAUGGUACAAAAUUACAGGUUAUUAGUUUAAGUGAUCGCUAACCAAUGUGUUAAACGUUAAUAAAGGUAUGGUAGUUAUAUUGUAUGUAGGUACAGUUGAGUCCAUGGUUCUCAUUAAUACCUGGAGAGAUAAAACACAUACUUGUUACUUAGCACCAUUGUGUUCCACACAUGACACUAAAGACAAACCAGCUACUGCCUGUUAUUAAGUAAACAUACAUGUUAUUUUUAUGAACUUUCUAGAUUCAGUACAUCGAAAAAAUAGAGGUGCAAAAAAGACGCUUGGGGACGUUUUCAGAUUUAAGUACAAUUUGCAACAUUUCUGGUUUGUUUAUUGUUUGUUUUUCACAACUAAUUUUAUUUUGGCAUUAAUUUACAUACAAAGUUCACCUCAUUCACACAGAUUGUCAUAACCACUUUCUGCCAAUGGACUCAACUGUAAAAUUAGUUUAUCAUUUUAUAGUGUAAAUACAAAUAAAAAACUAGUAUUGUAACAAAAGUCAGUGUUUUGUAAGUAGGUAGAUUAAAUAUCAAUAAAGGUUCUGUUUAGUUACAAUUUAUAGUGGUUAUAUUGUAUGUAGGUAAUAUUAGUUUAUCAUUUUGCAAUGUCAAAUUCUAAAUCCAAACCCAGUAAAUAUGUUCACGGAUGUUUAGCUUCCUAUUGUAAUAACAAGUAUUUUCAUCCUGUCACAGACCCAGAGUAUACAAAUAAAAAGUUUUUUAGAUUUCCAGAUAAAGAUUUAAAAAGACGUCAUGACUGGUUUGAAAUUAUUGGUAUUGAAUUUACUGAAACUAGGUGUUAUUUAUGUGAAGAUCAUUUUGAGGAAACACAAUUUACAAGCAGUUUAAAAACAAAACUAUUAAAUAAUGCAGUGCCCUCCAAAAUAAUUCACAUAUCCAAUGUCCAUGAUCAACUUUUGCCUAUACCUGCACAUUCUUCUGAUGAAAUCUCUGUUUCAAAUGUACACAUUUUUAGUAACAAAGAAAUAGUUCCUCCAUUAAUAACCCAGUCAAGAAUAAAUGCUCAAUUUCCAGUCAGCAUGAUAAUGAGUAUAGUAUUACACCUAAUUUAGACCUAAACACCUAAACAUAUUACACCUAAACAUUAGAAAAAAAGCUGCAACUCGAUAAAACUGCCUUGUCGAAAAAACACUAAGAGCCGAAAAGUUUUAAAAAUAUUGAAUUUAACUAAUGGUAUCACCAUAAUAAUUUAAUUGGAACGUACACAAGAGUUUGGGGGGUUUAAGGGAACAAAACCCCCAUAAAAUUUUUAUGGGGUACACAAAUUUCACUAUAAUUUUUCUUUAAGAUAUUCCUGCCAUAAAAAUGCCACAUGUCCAUUUUCAAUAAAAAAUCUAAUAGUUUUCAAUAUAUUCGAAAAAAUCGAUUUUCAUUUUGUAACUUCAAAGGGCUGUAACUUUUUUUAUGUGUAUAUUUGUAAUAAGGUAAGUUAGGUUCAUUCAAACUAUUUUUGGUCAAAGAAUAGGUGAUUUAGUUUAUGACCUGUAUUUUUGUUACACUCUGUAUAUAUGUAUCCUAUUUUUCUAAAAAGUUCUGAGGGAAAUGUAGAAUAACUUAUAAGGUUUUUUUAGGCUACUAGACAAAUUUGUAAUAUAUAUUUGCAUUUUGUAAAAGAUAGGAUAAUUAAAGAAUAAAGAGCGGGGACAUGCAUGCAUUUUGUGUUGAUCUGUGUUUUACAUCAUUAUUUCAAAACAAUUUUACUGCAUAGAUUUUCUUAUUUUGUUUUAUCAGCACUCCAUACAUGCAUGCGGUAAGUGGGGGGUCCCCGUGAGGAUUAAUAAAAAUAUAAUAUAUGUAGUUUUUUUCCCAGUGUUUAUAUUAUUUUCUAUUUUUCUGAAAGUUCUGAAAAAAAAUAUUUUUCUUUAGAUAUUUUUAGGCUACUAAUCAAACUAGUAAUAUCUGCAUUUUGUAAAAUAUAAGAUGAAUAAAGAGGUCGCCGUGAAGAUUAAUAAAAAUAAAA